rnacentral:rRNA from 1 species
AUUGAACGCUGGCGGCAGGCUUAACACAUGCAAGUCGAGCGGAGAUGAGGUGCUUGCACCUUAUCUUAGCGGCGGACGGGUGAGUAAUGCUUAGGAAUCUGCCUAUUAGUGGGGGACAACAUUCCGAAAGGAAUGCUAAUACCGCAUACGUCCUACGGGAGAAAGCAGGGGAUCUUCGGACCUUGCGCUAAUAGAUGAGCCUAAGUCGGAUUAGCUAGUUGGUGGGGUAAAGGCCUACCAAGGCGACGAUCUGUAGCGGGUCGGAGAGGAUGAUCCGCCACACUGGGACUGAGACACGGCCCAGACUCCUACGGGAGGCAGCAGUGGGGAAUAUUGGACAAUGGGGGGAACCCUGAUCUAGCCAUGCCGCGUGUGUGAAGAAGGCCUUAUGGUUGUAAAGCACUUUAAGCGAGGAGGAGGCUACUGAGACUAAUACUCUUGGAUAGUGGACGUUACUCGCAGAAUAAGCACCGGCUAACUCUGUGCCAGCCGCCGCGGUAA